GACGAGGAGGACAAGCGUUAUUCGGUAUAACUAGGCGUAAAGAGCUUUAAGGCGGUAGAAGAAGGGACUCGUGAAAGCUCGAUUGAUCAUCGAAAAGCGAGAUCCCACAAAACUAGAGUCGACUCAAAGAGAAGGGAAUUUCCAAAGUAGUGAUAAAAUACGUUGAGAUUGGAAGGAAGACCGAAGGCGAAGGCACUUCUCUAUAGGAGACUGACGCUGAAAGGCGAAAGUCUGGGUAGCAAAUGGG
rnacentral:rRNA from 1 species